AGCUUUCGCCGGGGUCGACCACUGCCGAUGAUGAACCAGGACCAAGUUGUAAACAAAGCAGACGUAGUAUUACAUCCAAGCAAAAAGAUAAGACAACGAAAACUAGCUUGAGUUCUGUCUGUGUCACUGAUGUGCACCAAAUCAGAAGGUUCAAGGACAGUAAGGUAUGGUAGUACAUAAGCAACUGCGGCUUCGCUUGGCCUAUUGCCUGUGUCAACCUUUACUUGAUUUGCACAUUGGUGGUAGCCCUCGUUCCACUUUCAGGACCAGGCCGGCCACCAGCAUACUUUCACGAUUGAAAGGGAAGCACUAUACAAGUGGUGCAAAGAAAGGAGAAAAGAGGGGAAUAUGUAAAGUCUGUGGAAGCAAAAGAACAAGUGAAGGAAAGAGAAAGGACACAAAAACUGCUAAUAAGUGUCUAUAAUGUGACAUGUUCUUGUGCGAAGGAGUGUGUUUCGCAGAUUAUCACACCAAGACGAAGGUGUAACAUGUGACUAUUCUAAUAAAAUAUCAUAGUUAGGUAGGAACAUGACUAUUUUAGUGCUUUUUAGAAUAUAUGUAUAAUAGUUUGUAUAAAACAAAGCAAUCUGGGUGUGAAAUUUUGGUUUUUCAGAAAUCCAAGAUGGCCGCCAUAGAUUUUUGUACAACGAUCCAAUUUCAUAAAACUCCAAUUUCUCCAAAACGACAAAUUGGAUUGAAACAAAAAUUUAUAGCUGCUUUGACUAUAUCC